rnacentral:lncRNA from 1 species
UUCAAGUGAUAAUCCUGUAAAAUUAUUCACUAAGGAUUGACAACAUCAAUAUUUGAGAAGUUGUGAUAUAAGAUUAAAAUGCAUCGUCUCCGAGAUAUCAAGUAAAAUUUUUAUUAGGGGGAGAAAAAUACAUAUUGUACUUUUAUCCUUAACCAUGGUUUUAUCCCAAUUGGGUUUUCUAGGUAAGGUGUUUAACGAG